rnacentral:tRNA from 1 species
GGCGACAUAGCCAAGUGUUAAGGCUAAGGACCGCAAGUCCUUGAUCCCCUAGUUCAAAUCUGGGUGUCGCCUCCA